rnacentral:ncRNA from 3 species
UAGCAAGCGUUGAAGAGGACUAGUAGCGAACGUUCCGUUUCAAAGAGAGUCGAUGGAUGGUGUGAAUCGAUAAGCGGAUGUUGUGAACUCGCCUUGGAGCUGUUUUCCUGAAACGAGUAGGGAAAACCGGGGUUACGCCUCGUUACCGGCGUCUCAAGUGGCAGCAAUGCAACAUGGGUGGUACCGCGGAGAGCUUUCAAGCCUUUCGUCCCAUUU